rnacentral:lncRNA from 1 species
UGAGUAUUUCUUCCUAUUCUGACAGGCUCUACCAUUUGGCAGGAGAACAUUAUCGCGGAAUGAAGGCAUGGACGUAUAUGUAACGGUGACGGUGUUCCUUGGAGUUCAGAGUGCAAAAGAGCAUCGCAAGGGGAGCAUGUUGCCUUGAUGAGCAGUUGUGCUAGAUUUCCAGAGUGUAGGUGGCUUGCAUAGGUGUACGGGUUAUUGCAAGCCUUGCUGUAUACAGGAUGCUAUACGGGAUACAUGCUGAACGCUUUGAUAUGGUUCCCCAAUUUAAGUCGGUUGCACUAGCGUGGGGGAGAAAAUGGAUAUUCAUAGACUUUUUAUUUCCCCUUGAGAUAGUUAAACUGGUUACCUGAUACGUUCGUGGUGCGAUGUGAAUACUCUGCAUUCCCAGAUCAUCUUUCCUUGUUUUGAG